rnacentral:rRNA from 1 species
CGAAUGCUGACAUAAGUAACGAUAAAGCGGGUGAAAAGCCCGCUCGCCGGAAGACCAAGGGUUCCUGUCCAACGUUAAUCGGGGCAGGGUGAGUCGACCCCUAAGGCGAGGCCGAAAGGCGUAGUCGAUGGGAAACAGGUUAAUAUUCCUGUACUUGGUGUUACUGCGAAGGGGGGACGGAGAAGGCUAUGUUGGCCGGGCGACGGUUGUCCCGGUUUAAGCGUGUAGGCUGGUUUUCCAGGCAAAUCCGGAAAAUCAAGGCUGAGGCGUGAUGACGAGGCACUACGGUGCUGAAGCAACAAAUGCCCUGCUUCCAGGAAAAGCCUCUAAGCAUCAGGUAACAUCAAAUCGUACCCCAAACCGACACAGGUGGUCAGGUAGAGAAUACCAAGGCGCUUGAGAGAACUCGGGUGAAGGAACUAGGCAAAAUGGUGCCGUAACUUCGGGAGAAGGCACGCUGAUAUGUAGGUGAAGCGACUUGCUCGUGGAGCUGAAAUCAGUCGAAGAUACCAGCUGGCUGCAACUGUUUAUUAAAAACACAGCACUGUGCAAACACGAAAGUGGACGUAUACGGUGUGACGCCUGCCCGGUGCCGGAAGGUUAAUUGAUGGGGUUAGCGGUAACGCGAAGCUCUUGAUCGAAGCCCCGGUAAACGGCGGCCGUAACUAUAACGGUCCUAAGGUAGCGAAAUUCCUUGUCGGGUAAGUUCCGACCUGCACGAAUGGCGUAAUGAUGGCCAGGCUGUCUCCACCCGAGACUCAGUGAAAUUGAACUCGCUGUGAAGAUGCAGUGUACCCGCGGCAAGACGGAAAGACCCCGUGAACCUUUACUAUAGCUUGACACUGAACAUUGAGCCUUGAUGUGUAGGAUAGGUGGGAGGCUUUGAAGUGUGGACGCCAGUCUGCAUGGAGCCGACCUUGAAAUACCACCCUUUAAUGUUUGAUGUUCUAACGUUGACCCGUAAUCCGGGUUGCGGACAGUGUCUGGUGGGUAGUUUGACUGGGGCGGUCUCCUCCUAAAGAGUAACGGAGGAGCACGAAGGUUGGCUAAUCCUGGUCGGACAUCAGGAGGUUAGUGCAAUGGCAUAAGCCAGCUUGACUGCGAGCGUGACGGCGCGAGCAGGUGCGAAAGCAGGUCAUAGUGAUCCGGUGGUUCUGAAUGGAAGGGCCAUCGCUCAACGGAUAAAAGGUACUCCGGGGAUAACAGGCUGAUACCGCCCAAGAGUUCAUAUCGACGGCGGUGUUUGGCACCUCGAUGUCGGCUCAUCACAUCCUGGGGCUGAAGUAGGUCCCAAGGGUAUGGCUGUUCGCCAUUUAAAGUGGUACGCGAGCUGGGUUUAGAACGUCGUGAGACAGUUCGGUCCCUAUCUGCCGUGGGCGCUGGAGAACUGAGGGGGGCUGCUCCUAGUACGAGAGGACCGGAGUGGACGCAUCACUGGUGUUCGGGUUGUCAUGCCAAUGGCACUGCCCGGUAGCUAAAUGCGGAAGAGAUAAGUGCUGAAAGCAUCUAAGCACGAAACUUGCCCCGAGAUGAGUUCUCCCUGACUCCUUGAGAGUCCUGAAGGAACGUUGAAGACGACGACGUUGAUAGGCCGGGUGUGUAAGCGCAGCGAUGCGUUGAGCUAACCGGUACUAAUGAACCGUGAGGCUUAACCUUACAAC